UUAGCCAUGCAUGUCUAAGUAUAAACGAUUUAAUCGUGAAACCGCGAAUGGCUCAUUAUAACAGCUAUAAUUUACUUGAUCUUGACACAAUCCUACUUGGAUAACUGUGGUAAUUCUAGAGCUAAUACAUGCAUUAAAGCUCUGACCUCACGGGAAGAGUGCAUUUAUUAGAACAAAACCAAGCGGCUUCGGCUGUUUCUGGUUGACUCAUAGUAACUGAGCUGAUCGCAUGGUCUUGCACCGGCGACGUGUCUUUCAAGUAUCUGCCGUAUCAACUUUCGAUGGUAGUGUAUCUGACUACCAUGGUGAUCACGCGUAACGGAGAAUAAGGGUUCGGCUCCGGAGAGUUCGCCUGAGAAAUCGCGAACACAUCUAAGGAAGGCAGCAGGCGCGAAAAUUACCCACUCUCAGCACGAGGAGGUAGUGACGAAAAAUAACGAGACCGUUCUCUUAUGAGGCCGGUCAUCGGAAUGGGUACAAUUUAAACCAU
rnacentral:rRNA from 1 species